rnacentral:pre_miRNA from 1 species
UUCGUUUAUCCUAAAUCAAACUUGACAAACUUUGACCAAAUUUAUAGAAAAAUAUAACAACUAUACUACCAAACAUAUGUAUUAUCAAAACAUAUUACAUGGUGGAUUCCAUGAAACAAAUUUGGUAUUAUAGAUGUUAUUAUAUUUUUCUAUAAACUUGGUCAAAGUUAGAUAAGUUUGACUUAUGACAAACCAAA